CCUACGGGAGGCAGCAGUGAGGAAUAUUGGUCAAUGGACGAGAGUCUGAACCAGCCAAGUAGCGUGAAGGAUGACUGCCCUAUGGGUUGUAAACUUCUUUUAUAUGGGAAUAAAACAGGGUAUGCAUACCCUCUUGUAUGUACCAUAUGAAUAAGGAUCGGCUAACUCCGUUCCAGCAGCCGCGGUAAUACGGAGGAUCCGAGCGUUAUCCGGAUUUAUUGGGUUUAAAGGGAGCGUAGGCGGAUUGUUAAGUCAGUUGUGAAAGUUUGCGGCUCAACCGUAAAAUUGCAGUUGAAACUGGCAGGCUUGAGUACAGUAGAGGUAGGCGGAAUUCGUGGUGUAGCGGUGAAAUGCUUAGAUAUCACGAAGAACUCCGAUUGCGAAGGCAGCUCACUGGACUGCAACUGACACUGAUGCUCGAAAGUGUGGGUAUCAAACAGGAUUAGAUACCCCAGUAGUC
rnacentral:rRNA from 1 species